rnacentral:rRNA from 1 species
UCCGGUUGAUCCUGCCGGACCUGACUGCUAUCGGAUUGGUACUAAGCCAUGCGAGUCAUUGUAGCAAUACAAGGCGGACGGCUCAGUAACACGUAGUCAACCUAACUCGUGGACGUGGAUAACCUUGGGAAACUGAGAAUAAACCACGAUAGAUCAUAAUGCCUGGAAUGGCUUAUGGUCCAAACAGUUUACUGCCAUGGGAUGGGACUGCGGCCUAUCAGCUUGUUGGUGAGGUAAUGGCCCACCAAGGCGAUUACAGGUACGGGCUCUGAGAGGAGAAGCCCGGAGAUGGGUACUGAGACACGGACCCAGGCCCUAUGGGGCGCAGCAGGCGAGAAACCUUAGCAAUGUGCGAAAGCACGACUGGGUCAGUCCGAGUGAUUCCUGAUAAAGGAGUCUUUUGCUUGUCCUAAAAGCACAGGUGAAUAAGGGGUGGGCAAGUCUGGUGUCAGCCGCCGCGGUAAUACCAGCACCUCGAGUGGUCAGGACGUUUAUUGGGCCUAAAGCAUCCGUAGCCGGCUUUGCAAGUCUUCGGUUAAAUCCACCUGCUCAACAGAUGGGCUGCUGGAGAUACUACAGAGCUAGGGAGUGGGAGAGGCAGACGGUAUUCAGUGGGUAGGGGUAAAAUCCUCUGAUCCAUUGAGGACCACCAGUGGCGAAGGCGGUCUGCCAGAACACGUUCGACGGUGAGGGAUGAAAGCUGGGGGAGCAAACCGGAUUAGAUACCCGGGUAGUCCCAGCUGUAAACGAUGCAAACUCGGUGAUGCAUUGGCUUAUGGCCAAUGCAGUGCCGCAGGGAAGCCGUUAAGUUUGCCGCCUGGGAAGUACGGACGCAAGUCUGAAACUUAAAGGAAUUGGCGGGGGAGCACCACAAGGGGUGAAGCCUGCGGUUCAAUUGGAGUCAACGCCAGGAAUCUUACCCGGGGAGACAGCAGAAUGAAGGUCAAGCUGAAGACUUUACCAGACAAGCUGAGAGGAGGUGCAUGGCC